rnacentral:rRNA from 1 species
UGGGGAAUUGUUCGCAAUGGGCGCAAGCCUGACGACGCAACGCCGCGUGGAGGAUGAAGAUCUUCGGGUCGUAAACUCCUUUCGAUCGAGACGAACGGCUUCCGGGUGAACAAUCCGGGAGAGUGACGGUACCGAGAGAAGAAGCCCCGGCUAACUCCGUGCCAGCAGCCGCGGUAAUACGGGGGGGGCAAGCGUUGUUCGGAAUUACUGGGCGUAAAGGGCUCGUAGGCGGCCAACUAAGUCAUACGUGAAAUCCCUCGGCUUAACCGGGGAACUGCGUCUGAUACUGGAUGGCUUGAGAUUGGGAGAGGGAUGCGGAAUUCCAGGUGUAGCGGUGAAAUGCGUAGAUAUCUGGAGGAACACCGGUGGCGAAGGCGGCAUCCUGGACCAACACUGACGCUGAGGAGCGAAAGCCAGGGGAGCAAACGG